CUGCGGCAAAAUCACAUUUGAAACACCAGUUUCCGUACGAUCAGCAAAGUUAAGCAUCAUCGAGCCUGGUCGGUACCUAGAUGGGUGACCACUUGAGAAUACCAUGUGCC